rnacentral:rRNA from 1 species
UACGUAGGGGGCAAGCGUUGCUCGGAAUUACUGGGCGUAAAGGGUUCGUAGGCGGUUGGGCAAGUCGGCGGUGAAAUCUCUCGGCUUAACCGAGAGCGGUCCGCCGAAACUACCUGACUGGAGGGCCGGAGAGGGGAGUGGAAUACCUGGUGUAGCGGUGAAAUGCGUAGAGAUCAGGUGGAACACCGGAGGCGAAGGCGGCUCCCUGGACGGCACCUGACGCUGAGGAACGAAAGCUGGGGGAGCAAACAGG